GCGCCCGUAGCUCAGCUGGAUAGAGCACCUGGCUACGAACCAGGGGGUCGGAGGUUCGAAUCCUUCCGGGCGCGCCA
rnacentral:tRNA from 1 species